UACGGAGGGUGCAAGCGUUAUCCGGAUUCACUGGGUUUAAAGGGUGCGUAGGUGGGUUGGUAAGUCAGUGGUGAAAUCUCCGUGCUUAACAUGGAAACUGCCAUUGAUACUACUGAUCUUGAAUUUUCGGGAGGUAAGCGGAAUAUGUCAUGUAGCGGUGAAAUGCUUAGAUAUGACAUAGAACACCAAUUGCGAAGGCAGCUUACUACAGGAACAUUGAUCACUGAUGCACGAAAGCGUGGGGAUCAAACAGG
rnacentral:rRNA from 1 species